rnacentral:rRNA from 1 species
AUGAAUUGCAUUAGUUGGAACUGUCGGGGUGCGGCCAACAAACCAACAGUUCAUGAUUUGACGGGUCUUGUUCGAUCCACCAAAGCAAAUUUGGUCUUUUUAUGUGAAACUAGGCAAAAAGCAGAUAAAGUACGUCAGCUUCGUGUUAGGUUACGAUUAAGAGGUUUUCGCGGUCUAGAUAGUGAUGGUCUAAGUGGUGGUGUUGCUUUGUUUUGGAGUGAUCAUAUAUAUGUGGAUGUUACAAAAAUAAAUGAACGCUAUAUUGAUGCUUACAUAUGUGUUACUCCGAACGAUCCUUUAUGGUGA